rnacentral:lncRNA from 1 species
UACUGAAUGUGACUUCUGAUGCGAAAUUUUAUAGAAGAAAGAAUACAGUACUGUAAUAUAAAAAUCGUAUAAACAAAACACAAUACAUAAUGUAAUUGUAUAUACAAAAUCGUCUAAAACAAAUACAGUACAGUACAGUACUGUAAAGUUCAAUACAGAAUUUGAUAUUACACAGUAGGUCUACGGUAUUCAAUACACACACUCAUCAUUCUUUCUGAAAAAAACAAUCAAUCUUUGUCUGUUUUUUCUUCUUUGCAUAAAGAUAAGAGGAAAAUGCACUGUCAAUGCUGGCUAUACCAGUCAACAUACUUGGACAUUUUUUCACAGCAAAUGACUUCAAUUUCAUUAUCAUAUGCCUAACAUCAUCAUCUUUUGGAGUCUCUGCAUCUCUAUCGACAUCACUCUGUUCUUCUGUUUCUGGUUCUUCUUCGCUGGGAUGUGCUUCAGCCAAUAUUGCCUGGAAAAUUGCUUCUGAAUCAGGUUCAUUGCAG